AUAAAAUUAUCAUUUUUAUAUUCAAUUGCAUCAUUAUUUUAUUAAUACUAUUUGUAUAUUAAUUUAAGUUUAAUAUCUCUAAUUUGGUAUUUAUAAUAAUAAUAAUAAUAAUAAUAAUAAUAAUAAUAAUAAUAAUAAUAAUAAUAAUAAUAAUAAAUACCUUAAUGAAAAUUAGGAAUGUUUUAAUAAAUAUUCUUUUUAUUUUAUUCAUACAAUUUUUAUUUAUAAAUAGUUAUUUUACAAUUUUAUUUAAGAAAUUCAAACUAGUUUUUAGGAAUUAAACUAGUAACAUUGAAAAUUUUAUUUAAGAAAUUCAAACUAGUUUUUAGAAAUUACGCUAGUAACAUUGAACUACGACCACAAGUGCAAAUAUUGCACAAAUUCAAAAGCAAAACUAUAGUUAAAAAAUAAUAAUAAUUGUUUUCAUCACUCUUCUAGAAAGAUGAUUCUUAUAUGAAAGAAGGAUGAUUCUUACAUGAACACAAACAUAAAUUAUUUAGGCGCACACAAAAAUUACAAUGACU
rnacentral:lncRNA from 1 species